UACGUAGGGAGCAAGCGUUGUUCGGAUUUACUGGGCGUAAAGGGCGCGUAGGCGGCGUGUCAAGUCGAUUGUGAAAUCUCCGGGCUUAACUCGGAACGGCCAAUCGAUACUGACGUGCUAGAGUGCAGAAAGGGCAAUCGGAAUUCUUGGUGUAGCGGUGAAAUGCGUAGAUAUCAAGAGGGAACACCUGAGGCGAAGGCGGGUUGCUAGGCUGACACUGACGCUGAGUGCGCGAAAGCCAGGGGAGCAAAGCGGG
rnacentral:rRNA from 1 species